CGAAAGCCUGACGGAGCAAGACCGCGUGGGGGAGGAAGGUUCUUGGAUUGUAAACCCCUUUUCUCAGGGAAGAACAAAAUGACGGUACCUGAGGAAUCAGCCUCGGCUAACUCCGUGCCAGCAGCCGCGGUAAUACGGAGGAGGCAAGCGUUAUCCGGAAUGAUUGGGCGUAAAGCGUCCGCAGGUGGCUUGUCAAGUCUGCUGUCAAAGCCAGUGGCUUAACCACUGAAAGGCAGUGGAAACUGACAGGCUAGAGUGCGGUAGGGGUAGAGGGAAUUCCCAGUGUAGCGGUGAAAUGCGUAGAGAUUGGGAAGAACACCGGUGGCGAAAGCGCUCUACUGGGCCUGCACUGACACUGAGGGACGAAAGCUAGGGGAGCG
rnacentral:rRNA from 1 species